UUCUCUGUCUUCGACGGUAUUCAUUUAAUUGUUGCGCGCCUGUGCGGGAUUUGUACUAGGGUAUUCUGUAGCUGGCGUGGGUAAUCAGAGUAGAAGUUUUGCGAUUCUCCGUAUAAGAAAUUGACGAGCCACCUAUUCAUCGAAUUGUUUGGCCAAUUAGGGUUUUGGGAUUUAUUCUUUCGUCUCCAGUUACUGUGCGAUAUGUGCCUUGAGUGGCUCUAUUGAGGAAUUUUUCAUUUUAUAGACUUGGAGUAUGGGGUUUACCGUCCUCAGAGUUUUCCUCCUCUCUGCCUCCAUCAGCCUCUUGCUGCUCCCAGGCUUUUCAGCGAAAUUCGAGCCUUCUUCGAACGAGACUGCAUACGAUGGAAGAUACUCCAAGUUUAAGAUUGUUGUGGAGGAAACA
rnacentral:lncRNA from 1 species